CCCAAGCAACCCAAAGGGCCAGUCUCACUCCCACCAUGCCCACCCCCACAACAGCACCAAGUCUGUUUCCAGGUAGUGGGCAAACAGGAAGUUACCCCAGGCUACCCACCUCCCAGCUGCAAAAGUAAGUAGGGCAUUCCUUCUUCCCCUGCCUGUGGAGUCUGUACGCCAGAUUCACCCCCUCCCCAGAGUUCUGGCCAGGAGACUUCUCGAUUGGUUCAAAUUGUUACAAAGUUCAGCUGGAGGUUUCCUUCUCCCUGUGGCCUUUUCCCAGUGCCUCUGGCAGCCCUCCUCAAGGACACCUGUGAGGCGAGGCAGAAAGGGCCUUCUAGGGGAUCCAGCAAGCCCGCAGGGAUUUUCCUGCUGCUUCCUGUACCCCUGUAUUUCUCUCAGUUCUCUAAACUGACCCAGCUCCAAGUAAGCCCUUGAACCUGCUUGCCUCAGUAACCAUGGCAAGUCCAGAUGGCUGCCUUAGGAUCAGAUGUAAACCUUGGAGAAACCAGCUGUGGCCAGUAUGUCAAGUUUAAGCAGACAAAUGAAGGUGACCUGUGGUGGGAAUACACAUUUUGAAACUGAAAAGAGAUGGUAUGUGGGGAUGUACGGAGAACUUGUUGGAGUCUCUGUUGUGGACAACGCUUUAUGUGGUUUCAAGCUUCACAUACAAAAAAAAAGAAGGAAAGUGGCAGCACCCAAAAAAGAUCAAAACAAGGCAAGGAUCUCUGCUCUCGACCCAUCUAUUCAAUAUUGAACUAGAGGUCCCAGAUGGUGCAAUAAGAAAAUAACUCCAACUCUUUCAAAAGAGCUCAUUUAGUGGCAAUUCUUCCUAUUUCAUCUGUUACGGCUAGUGAGUUCUGCGCUUACUGAAGCAUCUCCUGACCCUAGAGACAAUUGCAACCAUGGCAAGAAUACCAACAAUGUUAUGCUAGAUCCCACGGCAAAAGGGUAACAAAAUUGGAUUUUAUGACUCUUUAUCAUUGAAUCACCCUCAACAACACCAAUUCUGGGAAGUUCUGAUAAUACAUUUCUGACUGCCUGACCUCAUAAUGUACAAUAGAUUCCCUUUCU